rnacentral:rRNA from 1 species
UCGAUUUGGAGUUUGUUGCCCUGAGUGAUGGGCUCCGAAGCUAACGCGAUAAAUCGACCGCCUGGGGAGUACGGCCGCAAGGUUAAAACUCAAAUGAAUUGACGGGGGCCCGCACAAGCGGUGGAGCAUGUGGUUUAAUUCGAUGCAACGCGAAGAACCUUACCUGGUCUUGACAUCCACAGAAUCUUUCAGAGAUGAGGGAGUGCCUUCGGGAACUGUGAGACAGGUGCUGCAUGGCUGUCGUCAGCCCGUGUUGUGAAAUGUUGGGUUAAGUCCCGCAACGAGCGCAACCCUUAUCCUUUGUUGCCAGCGAUUAGGUCGGGAACUCAAAGGAGACUGCCGUUGAUAAAACGGAGGAAGGUGGGGACGACGUCAAGUCAUCAUGGCCCUUACGACCAGGGCUACACACGUGCUACAAUGGCGUAUACAAAGGGAAGCGAAGGUGCGAGCUGGAGCGGACCUCCUAAAGUACGUCUAAGUCCGGAUUGGAGUCUGCAACUCGACUCCAUGAAGUCGGAAUCGCUAGUAAUCGUGAAUCAGAAUGUCACGGUGAAUACGUUCCCGGGCCU